ACUUCAUCGUCAUCACUCACUUAAUGGGAUUGAUUAAGGUGGUAAAGGAGUUGUGGAGGGCUUUCUUUUUCCUCUGCUCACCACAAUUCUGGAGAAUGGCGUUGCUCUGGACUUUUUCUAUUCUUUAUUCUUAUUACCAAUUAUUCAAACCACUAAUUCAUGAGAAAUGUUCCCUCUUCUCUCACAAACUCGUAUCCUAUCCAAGGUGCUCCCCUUUCACAACUACUUUUAAGCCUGUCUGCGUCAUCACUGGUGCUACGUCUGGUCUAGGAUUAGCUGCUGCCUAUCAACUUUCCAAGGAAGGAUAUUUUGUUGUGCUUGUUGGACGUUCACAGCAAUUAUUGUCAGAGACCAUAACAAAGAUAAAAGAUUGGAAUGAAGAUGCCCACCUCGAAGCUUUUCAGGUUGACCUGUCAUCAAUUGAGUCAGUCGUAAAGUUCAAAAUGUCCCUGCAACAGUGGCUUUUGGAUUCUGAUUUGCACUGCUCCAUACAAAUACUGAUAAACAAUGCUGGAAUACUUGCAACAUCACCUAGAGUCACCGCUGAGGGCUAUGAUCAGAUGAUUGGUACAAAUUAUAUUGGUGCAUUUGCUUUAACAAAGCUUCUACUGCCACUUCUUGAAAGCAGCCCUGUAUCCUCCAAAAUUGUGAAUGUAUCAUCCUUUACACAUCGAGCUGUUACUGAUGUGCAGGUUGAUGAGGGAACUGUUUCUGGGAAGAGAUUUUUUAGAUCAAUACAAUAUCCAUGUGCUCACAUCUAUGAGUAUUCUAAAUUAUGCCUCAUUCUCUUCUCGUAUGAGCUCCAUCGACAGCUUUGCCUAAUGGGAAAAUCUCACCAGAUAUUUGUCACGAAUCCAGGAUCAGUUCCCCAGCUCCCUUCCUCCCCCAAGUUUCCAAACACCCCCUUCGUUGCCCCCCUAAGAAAAGCUACGAGUUUUAAAGGGUCUAUCUCCACCCCGGCUUUCAACUAGCUACAACUGCAUAAUCAUCCAAUGAGUUGGAUAGGAAAAAAGGUUUAAAUGGGACCAGCUACACUCAUAUAAAUCCACUUGUAAUCAGUUUUUGAGCUAGAGUUGUGCAAAAUUGUUGCAGAUCCUGGAGUUGUGCAGACAAAGCUCAUGCAAGAAGUUCCAGCAAUCCUAUCUUGGUUAGCAUUAUAUGUGUUGAAACGUCUACAGCUGUUGCAAUCCCCUGAGUGUGGGGUUGACUCUAUUAUUGAUGCUGCUCUAGCUCCACCAGGAACAUCAGGAGCUUACUUUUUUGGGGGUAAAGGUAGGACCCUCAACCCUUCACCACUUUCGCGAAACGCCAAAUUAGCACGUGAACUUUGGGAGAGUACAAGUAAACUGCUAUCUGUGACCCCUUUUGGUGCUGAGGGUAACAGCUGGUAGCAUUGGUUCGCAUGUCAUGUCCUAUAACAAAGUGAAUAGCUGCAGUUGCCCCUGCAGAUUCACAAAUGACAACCCAUUCUUCAUAUCAAGUUUAAGAAAAGUACAAUAUAACCAUUCUUCAGCAUUACCACCAUGCACUUGUUGCCUUGUAGCACUGUUCAUAAUUCAUAUUCUCAUAUUCUACUUAUUUCAUUUGCUAAUUCACUACGAUAAUUAAUUAUUAGAUUGAAUUUGAA